UAGUACUGGCAUAUGGACAUUGG
rnacentral:miRNA from 1 species